AAGUCGUAACAAGGUUUCCGUAGGUGAACCUGCGGAAGGAUCAUUAUUGAAGCUCGGAAUGCAUGUCCGGUGUUGAUGCUGCCCAGCAAUGGGAUGUGCUCGCUCGGAUGUGUGUCCCUUCUCUAUUCCACCCCUUUGUGAACCAAGUGUGCGAGCCGAAGAGAGAUCGGAAGCUCGCAUGCAAACCCUUAACAUACCCCAAUGAAGUAUCAGAAUGUAACUUGCGUUAACUCGCACAAAUAUAACUUUCAACAACGGAUCUCUUGGCUCUC
rnacentral:misc_RNA from 1 species